UGUGGCCCUAAGUUCCUUUUCAGUCAUUUGAAGGCCCUUCCCUUCCCAGGUAACACCAGGACGGAGAACUCAUUCAGAAUCAGGGGCACGGGCUCUGCCUUUCCAUGUCCAUGUCAUGUCCCUGAUGCUGACACCACAGGUGACCCAACUUCUGGGGGCCCCUGCCAGGUGGGGCAUGCUUGGGGCCGAAGCCCAGGUACUGCCUGGAAGCCCCUCCUUGGUUUUAGCCUUUGGGUUGGUCCAGUGGGAUACAUACCCCUGCUCCCCAGUGAAGGGCUGCCCCUGGGGGUGGGAACGUCCCCUAGAGAGCUGGGGUCUGCCUCUCCAGCAUGCCGUGGCCAUGCUCUGUUCUAAUCAGGACCUGGUGGCGUUGAUGGGGAGGCUGAAGGAAGGCCCCCUUUAUAUCCUUACUGCUCCCCCAUACCCCAGUCAUGCCCUGCAACAGGAUGGAAAAUGGGAGCCCCUUUCCUUCUGCCUUCCUGGGCCCCUGGGCUUAUAUUUUUGUAAAAGGAAGACCCAGUCCAAGAUGAUUCUGCAGAAAUCCCUCUUUUAAAACAGCUUUCUGGGGCCGGGUGUGGCUCAGUGGUAAAGUGCUUGCCUGCCACGCA
rnacentral:lncRNA from 1 species